rnacentral:rRNA from 1 species
AAUAGAUACCCUGGUAGUCCACGCUGUAAACGUUGGACACUAGGUGUGGCGGUCUGAUCAACGACUGCCGUGCCGAAGCUAACGCAUUAAGUGUCCCGCCUGGGGAGUACGGCCGCAAGGCUAAAACUCAAAGGAAUUGACGGGUCCCCGCACAAGCGGCGGAGCAUGCGGCUUAAUUCGAUGCAACCCGAAGAACCUUACCUGGGUUUGACAUCAUGGGAAAAGCCGUGGAAACACGGUGUCCGAAAGGGCCCAUGACAGGUGGUGCAUGGCUGUCGUCAGCUCGUGUCGUGAGAUGUUGGGUUAAGUCCCGCAACGAGCGCAACCCUUGUCCUAUGUUGCCAGCGGUUCGGCCGGGGACUCAUAGGAGACUGCCGGGGAUAACUCGGAGGAAGGUGAGGACGAUGUCAAGUCAUCAUGCCCCUUAUAUCCAGGGCUGCACGCAUGCUACAAUGGUCGGUACAACGGGCAGCGAUCCUGCGAAGGUGAGCGAAUCCCACAAAGCCGGCCUCAGUUCGGAUCGG